AUGAUCUGUUGGUUGAGAAGUAUGGGCUUAAGUCAACUUGCAACAUAUCAUCCAAAGAAGCGCUGGCACUUUUUCUAUGGACUUUGGGAACAACGCAGACCACUGACAAUGUUGCAGAUCGGUUUGCACAUAGUCGUUCUGUCACUAACAAAAAAUUCCAUGAGGUUUUGGAGUGUGUGGACCACAUGGCCGGUGACUACAUUAGACCAAUGGAUCCAUCCUUCUCUGAACCUCAUCCCAUACUUAGAAAAACAAGGUUCUGGCCUCAUUUCAAAAAUGCUAUUGGAGCCAUAG
rnacentral:rRNA from 1 species